UACGAGAGGCAGCAGUGGGGAAUAUUGCACAAUGGGCGAAAGCCUGAUGCAGCUAUGCCGCGUGUAUGAAGAAGGCCUUAGGGUUGUAAAGUACUUUCAGCAGGGAGGAAAGAAAUAAAACUAAUAAUUUUAUUUUGUGACGUUACCUGAAGAAGAAGCACCGGCUAACUCCGUGCCAGCAGCCGCGGUAAUACGGAGGGUGCAAGCGUUAAUCAGAAUUACUGGGCGUAAAGAGCGCGUAGGUGGUUUUUUUAAGUCAGAUGUGAAAUCCCUAGGCUUAACCUAGGAACUGCAUUUUGAAACUGAAAAACUAGAGUAUCGUAGAGGGAGGUAGAAUUCUAGGUGUAGCGGUGAAAUGCGUAGAUAUCUGGAGGAAUACCUGUGGCGAAAGCGGCCUCCUAAACGAAUACUGACACUGAGGUGCGAAAGCGUGGGGAGCAAACAGGGAUUAGAUACC
rnacentral:rRNA from 1 species